rnacentral:lncRNA from 1 species
AGCGCGAGUUUUCGUCGAAUUUCGUGUACUGUGGUGUUGGCUUGGUUCUCGUAUCUUGUACUUGUUUAGAAGCUCUGAGCAGUGCUUUGAGUUGCGUACAUUGCAGUGGGCCAUGGAUACAGCCUCUAGUACACUGUAGCUAUAGUGCCUAGAGCUACCGGGAGCUAUCGAUCGCAACGCAAAGGCAUGAUGUCACAAAAGCUAUGAGCCUGGGCAUCACUGUUACCAAAGCGGCAUGCCACACUCCUUCCAAAGUCAUCACUCAAGUCGAAGUUGGCACGCAGUGCAGCUUGCCUCUGGCUGACAAGUCUAACGGGUGCUCCUUGAAAGCAUGGAGCGUGUCAAGGAGCACGCAGACUGUGGAGGUUGUGGAUCAAUCAAGCUCCAGCUCAGAAUCAAGGUUUUCUAUUUCUUCGUCAACGGCCGAGGGUGACAACUCACAGCAGGGACGUUGCUACUGCUGUCAGCUCUGUGAUUACGAGACUGAUAAGCUGUUUCGUUUGAAAGCACACACCAGAGUCCAUACUGACGAUUGUCUGUUUAAAUGCCAUUUGUGCUCUCAGAACUUCUCAAGAAAAGACAACUUGAAGAGACAUCUGCGCACCCACACAGGCGAGAAGCCAUUUCAGUGCCCUUCAUGCCCUCAGCGCUUCUCGUGUAAGGCUAGCAUGAAGAACCACCUGCGUACCCAUGCAGGCAAGAUGACGUUUCAAUGCCCUUCAUGCCUUCAGAGGUUCUCACAAAAAUACAACAUGAAGAGACAUCUGCGCACUCACACAGGUGAGAAGCCAUUUCAGUGCAGUGUCUGUCCUCAGAGCUUCUCACAAAGAAGCAGCCUAAACAUACAUUUGCGCCUCCACAGUGGUGAACGGCCGUUUCACUGCCCUUCAUGCCCUCAGACAUUCUCACAAAGCUAUCACUUGAAGGUCCACCUACGCACCCACACAGGUGAGAAGCCAUUUCAGUGUCCUUCUUGCCAUCGGAGCUUCUCGCAUAAGUCCAGCAUGAAGAAACAUUUGAGCAUUCAUACAGGUGAGCGACCACACCACUGCACCCUCUGCUCCAAAACCUUUGCGCAAGCUCAUAA